rnacentral:rRNA from 1 species
AGCGUAGACGGCAAGGCAAGUCUGAUGUGAAAACCCAGGGCUUAACCCUGGGACUGCAUUGGAAACUGUCUGGCUCGAGUGCCGGAGAGGUAAGCGGAAUUCCUAGUGUAGCGGUGAAAUGCGUAGAUAUUGGGAAGAACACCAGUGGCGAAGGCGGCUUACUGGACGGUAACUGACGUUGAGGCUCGAAAGCGUGGGGAGCAAACA